UUGGUCAUGCUAGAAAGAGCGUAUGGUGGAUGCCUUGGCACUAAGAGCCGAUGAAAGACGUGAUAAGCUGCGAAAAGCUUCGGGGAGGAGCAAAUAUCCUUUGAUCCGGAGAUAUCUGAAUGGGGAAACCCACUUGAGCAAACCUCAAGUAUCCUUAAGCCAAUACAUAACUUAAGGAAGGGAACCCGGUGAACUGAAACAUCUAAGUAGCCGGAGGAAGAGAAAACAACAUGUGAUUCUGUGAGUAGCGGCGAGCGAAAACGGAAGAGCCCAAACCGGG
rnacentral:rRNA from 1 species